rnacentral:rRNA from 1 species
AUUGAACGCUGGCGGCAUGCCUUACACAUGCAAGUCGAACGGCAGCGCGGGAGCAAUCCUGGCGGCGAGUGGCGAACGGGUGAGUAAUACAUCGGAACGUGCCCAAUCGUGGGGGAUAACGCAGCGAAAGCUGUGCUAAUACCGCAUACGAUCUACGGAUGAAAGCAGGGGAUCGCAAGACCUUGCGCGCAUGGAGCGGCCGAUGGCAGAUUAGGUAGUUGGUGAGGUAAAGGCUCACCAAGCCUUCGAUCUGUAGCUGGUCUGAGAGGACGACCAGCCACACUGGGACUGAGACACGGCCCAGACUCCUACGGGAGGCAGCAGUGGGGAAUUUUGGACAAUGGGCGAAAGCCUGAUCCAGCCAUGCCGCGUGCAGGAUGAAGGCCUUCGGGUUGUAAACUGCUUUUGUGCGGAACGAAACGGUCUUUUCUAAUAAAGAAGGCUAAUGACGGUACCGUAAGAAUAAGCACCGGCUAACUACGUG